rnacentral:rRNA from 1 species
GAACGGAGAUAGUGUGCUUGCACAUUAUUUUAGUGGCGAACGGGUGAGUAAUGCCUAGGAAUCUGCCCAUUAGCGGGGGAUAACGUGUGGAAACGCACGCUAAUACCGCAUACGCCCUACGGGGGAAAGCAGGGGACUCUUUUAGAGCCUUGCACUAAUGGAUGAGCCUAGGUCGGAUUAGCUAGUUGGUGGGGUAAAGGCCUACCAAGGCGACGAUCUGUAGCGGGUCUGAGAGGAUGAUCCGCCACACUGGAACUGAGACACGGUCCAGACUCCUACGGGAGGCAGCAGUGGGGAAUAUUGGACAAUGGGGGCAACCCUGAUCCAGCCAUGCCGCGUGUGUGAAGAAGGCCUUUUGGUUGUAAAGCACUUUAAGCGAGGAGGAGGCUACCCUGACUAAUACUCAGGAGUAGUGGACGUUACUCGCAGAAUAAGCACCGGCUAACUCUGUGCCAGCAGCCGCGGUAAUACAGAGGGUGCGAGCGUUAAUCGGAAUUACUGGGCGUAAAGCGCGCGUAGGCGGUUUGUUAAGUCGGAUGUGAAAUCCCCGGGCUCAACCUGGGAAUUGCAUUCGAUACUGGCAAGCUAGAGUAUGGGAGAGGAAGGUAGAAUUCCAGGUGUAGCGGUGAAAUGCGUAGAGAUCUGGAGGAAUACCGAUGGCGAAGGCAGCCUUCUGGCCUAAUACUGACGCUGAGGUGCGAAAGCAUGGGGAGCAAACAGGAUUAGAUACCCUGGUAGUCCAUGCCGUAAACGAUGUCAACUAGCCGUUGGGGGAUUUGAUCCUUUAGUGGCGCAGCUAACGCGAUAAGUUGACCGCCUGGGGAGUACGGUCGCAAGACUAAAACUCAAAUGAAUUGACGGGGGCCCGCACAAGCGGUGGAGCAUGUGGUUUAAUUCGAUGCAACGCGAAGAACCUUACCUGGUCUUGACAUAGUGAGAAUCCUGCAGAGAUGCGGGAGUGCCUUCGGGAAUUCACAUACAGGUGCUGCAUGGCUGUCGUCAGCUCGUGUCGUGAGAUGUU